CCAUCUUUUUGUACUGUAACUCUCUCUUUCAACCAAUAAAUUAGUUAACUCGUUCAGUAUGAAGUCAAGAAACAGUAAUACUAAUAAUUAAUAAUUAUACGAAAGCAAAAGACGUUUAAAAGAGUAACUACAACUGCAACCUAAUUAUUUUUUUCUUUCUCCCUCAGACUUCAUCACACUUCAGACUCAGCUUCACUUUUUCAACAUCUGUUGGAAACAGAGGGAAAUUACUGAAGAAAGAAGAAAAACAAAUAAAGGAACAUUUUGUAAAUAUUAAAAACAGCAUCUUUGGAUGGGCACAAGUAACUUUUCUUCAUGAUAUACUUUUUAAGUAAAAGGAACUUAUUUUUAUCUUCAUUAUUAAAAAUUUAUUUGUUUUCCUGAUUACAUCCACGGGCAAGAAAGAGGACAGAUAGAUUAACUUUUAGCUUUGCCUAUAAUUUUUUUACUUAGAACCAAGCUUAGACAUACACAGAGACGUCGCUUUCCAAGAUAAAUAUUUUUGCCCGAAUCUUGGAAGAUAAACAAAGUGAGUGGAGAGGAUAUGGUGAUAUAAAUGGUGCAAUCUAUUUAUUAAAGAAGUUAUGAAAGCAAUCUUGAUUUAAAAAAUUAUUCUUC
rnacentral:lncRNA from 1 species